UACGUAGGGCGCGAGCGUUGUCCGGAUUUAUUGGGCGUAAAGAGCUCGUAGGCGGCUUGUUGCGUCAGCCGUGAAAACCCGCAGCUCAACUGUGGGCUUGCAGCUGAUACGGGCAGGCUUGAGUUCGGUAGGGGAGACUGGAAUUCCUGGUGUAGCGGUGAAAUGCGCAGAUAUCAGGAGGAACACCGGUGGCGAAGGCGGGUCUCUGGGCCGAUACUGACGCUGAGGAGCGAAAGCGUGGGGAGCGAACAGG
rnacentral:rRNA from 1 species